GACGAACGCUGGCGGCGUGCUUAACACAUGCAAGUCGAACGGAAAGGCCCUGCUUUUGUGGGGUGCUCGAGUGGCGAACGGGUGAGUAACACGUGAGUAACCUGCCCUUGACUUUGGGAUAACUUCAGGAAACUGGGGCUAAUACCGGAUAGGAGCUCCUGCUGCAUGGUGGGGGUUGGAAAGUUUCGGCGGUUGGGGAUGGACUCGCGGCUUAUCAGCUUGUUGGUGGGGUAGUGGCUUACCAGGGCUUUGACGGGUAGCCGGCCUGAGAGGGUGACCGGCCACAUUGGGACUGAGAUACGGCCCAGACUCCUACGGGAGGCAGCAGUGGGGAAUAUUGCACGAUGGGCGGAAGCCUGAUGCAGCAACGCCGCGUGCGGGAUGACGGCCUUCGGGUUGUAAACCGCUUUCGCCUGUGACGAAGCGUGAGUGACGGUAAUGGGUAAAGAAGCACCGGCUAACUACGUGCCAGCAGCCGCGGUGAUACGUAGGGUGCGAGCGUUGUCCGGAUUUAUUGGGCGUAAAGGGCUCGUAGGUGGUUGAUCGCGUCGGAAGUGUAAUCUUGGGGCUUAACCCUGAGCGUGCUUUCGAUACGGGUUGACUUGAGGAAGGUAGGGGAGAAUGGAAUUCCUGGUGGAGCAGUGGAAUGCGCAGAUAUCAGGAGGAACACCAGUGGCGAAGGCGGUUCUCUGGGCCUUUCCUGACGCUGAGGAGCGAAAGCGUGGGGAGCGAACAGGCUUAGAUACCCUGGUAGUCCACGCUGUAAACGGUGGGUACUAGGUGUGGGGUCCAUUCCACGGGUUCCGUGCCGUAGCUAACGCUUUAAGUACCCCGCCUGGGGAGUACGGCCGCAAGGCUAAAACUCAAAGGAAUUGACGGGGCCCCGCACAAGCGGCGGAGCAUGCGGAUUAAUUCGAUGCAACGCGUAGAACCUUACCUGGGUUUGACAUGGAUCGGGAGUGCUCAGAGAUGGGUGUGCCUCUUUUGGGGUCGGUUCACAGGCGGUGCAUGGCUGUCGUCAGCUCGUGUCGUGAGAUGUUGGGUUAAGUCCCGCAACGAGCGCAACCCUUGUUCACUGUUGCCAGCACGUUAUGGUGGGGACUCAGUGGAGACCGCCGGGGUCAACUCGGAGGAAGGUGGGGAUGACGUCAAGUCAUCAUGCCCCUUAUGUCCAGGGCUUCACGCAUGCUACAAUGGCUGGUACAGAGAGUGGCGAGCCUGUGAGGGUGAGCGAAUCUCGGAAAGCCGGUCUCAGUUCGGAUUGGGGUCUGCAACUCGACCUCAUGAAGUCGGAGUCGCUAGCAAUCGCAGAUCAGCAACGCUGCGGUGAAUACGUUCCCGGG
rnacentral:rRNA from 1 species